rnacentral:lncRNA from 11 species
UUUCUCACUCCUGGCAAAAUUCAAGUUUCCCACUUUCUUGUGACCUACUUUGUUGUCCAGACCGAAAGAGUUGUGUCAGGUGCACAAGUUGCCUUUGGGAGGAUGUAGAGACUGGCGUGUCCUUGUCAUUUGUGCACGGUUUGCUUUCAUGCGAAUGCAGCAUCACAGAACUCCAUGGGGAAGGCUGACAUUUGGCGUGUCAUGGCUAACAUCUCAAUGUGAAAGGAGACCCUCCUGGAAAACACGAGAGAACAUGUGUGAACCUGUCUAGAAAUGUCCCUUUUAAGAUCUGACGCCUUUCCUUUCUGCCUUCCUUCCUUGCAGCGUUGUGCGACAUGCAUCCCAUGAGGGCUCUCUUUCUCAUCCCGCGAAACCCUCCCCCAAAGCUGAAAUCCAGAAAAUGGUCAAAGAAGUUCCUUAACUUUGUCGACAGUUGCUUGGUCAAGAACUACAUGCAUCGCCCGGCGACCGAAACCCUGCUCAAACAUUCCUUCAUCAGGGACAUGCAGAACGAACGGCAAAUACGCAUUUUGCUGAAAGACCAUCUUGACAGGACCAGGAAGAAGAAGGGAGACAAAGAUGAAACAGAGUACGAAUACAGUGGAAGCGAGGAAGAAGGUGAUGAGUUGAAUGAAGAUGAAGGAGAACCAAGCUCCAUUGUUAAUCUACCCGGCGAAUCCACCCUCCGGCGCGAAUUCCUGAGGCUUCAGCAGGAGAACAAAAGUCGUUCCGAUCUUCCACGCCAACCGCAGCAGAUCCAGCAGCAACAGUUGAAAGAUCAGGAGAAGUACAAGAAGCAGCUCUCGGAGGAGAGGCAGAAGCGGAUCGUGGAGCAGAAGCUGCAGAGGAAAAAGCUCGAGGAUCACCAGAAGAGAGAGGAGCUGCGGAAGCAUCUCGACCUCGAAAGGAGAUGCCCGGAGAUCAAAGCCGCUCUGAGCAAAACCGAAAAGGAGAAAGACAGCAGGAGGAACGACGAAGAAGUGCAAUGUAGAGCGGAGGGAGUCAGAUUGGACAACUUUCAGAAACAGUAUGAAGAAGCACAUCAGGGUAAGAAGAUUCACCGGACUCUUCCCAAGGACCAAACACAGCUGCUUUCUCUCCAACAUGAUCACAAGCAGAAGGCUAAAGAUCCUCCCAAGAUCCUCAACCCUCCGACGCGUCUGCCGUCAAACUCUGCAAGCAAAGAGGUAUAUUUUGCCAAUUCAUUGUGACUGGGUGGGUUGUUCUCCCGGUAGGGUGUGACCAACAGUUCUCCAUACUAUUUCAGAUGAUGUCAUGUUUUGGGGAAGGUUCCCAUUUGAAAAAACUAAACAAAACAAAGAGAUUCUGUAUGAAUUUAAAAGAUCACAUGGCUGGUAACCAUUUGAUUCUACCCCAUGCCUGCAAACAAAUGGGUUAUUGUGUUGUCGAAGGCUUUCAUGGCCGGGAUCACAGGGUUGUUGUAUGUUUUCCAGGCUGUCUGGCCAUGUUCUAGAAGCAUUCUCUCCUGAUGUCCCACCCACAUCUAUGGCAGGCAUCCUCAGAGGUUGUGAGGUAUGGAGAAACUAAGCCAGGAAGGUUUAUAUAUACAGUAGAGUCUCACUUAUCCAACACUUGCAGAAUGUUGGAUACGCGAGUGUUGGAUAAGUGAGACUCUACUGUACAUGUAAUAAUAGAGUAAAAUAAGAAAUGCAAUAAUAAUAAUAAUAAUAAUAAUAAUAUCAGAGUGAAAUAAUAAAUGUAAUAAUAAUAAUAAUAAUAAUAGAGUAAAAUAAAUGUAAUAGUAGCAACAAUAAUAGAGAAAAAUAAAAAAUGUAAUAAUACCAGUAAUAAUAGAGAAAAAUAAUAAAUGUACCAUAUAUUCACGAGUAUAAGCUGACCCAAAUAUAAGCCAACCAGGACCCUCACCCAAGUAUAAGCUGAGGGGGGAUUUUCAGUCUUAAAAAAGGGCUGAAAAACUAGGCUUAUACUUGAGUAUAUACAGUCAUAUUUUUUCUGGAAAGCGGGCGGUAGGCCCAAUAAGUUUGGGAAUCACUGGUCUAAAUCCGAAGGGGGUGGAAAAUGUAACUUGGCUUCCUCGCCUCAACUUUUUCCUUUUUCAAAAGAAAUCUGCCGCCCGAGGGGAGAGGGAAAAACCCACUUCGUAAAUGUCAGCUCCAAUCGUCCUCUGCGUCUGUGGCAUGUAUUCUGUAAAUGACCUCUUUGUACUGUAAUAAAAUGCAUUGUAAAAUUUAGCCCAUGCCAUUACUGUUAAAUUUUAAUCCAAAUGUACUGUUGUGGAUUUCUGACAUUAGCCGUUGUUGGCAGCGAGUCUCUGUUGGAAAGACGGGGCUUUCAAAGGAAGCAAAUUGAGGCUGACAUCAAUCUGCAAUUUCUCUCGCAGCUGAUGACUGUGUCUUGUGUGUUUUUAACGCCGUGCGGCUGCGGCGCGAUCGUUCGGCUUGCCCUGUUUCUUUAAUCCCAUUGGCUUCAUGUUGAUAUAUGUGUGUGCGUCUGUCUGUGUGGGUUUACAAGGGCCGAAACAAUUCCCCUCCUGUGAAAGAAUAAUUACUUCCCAUUGAAACCACUGUCAUUUCGGUGGAUCUCCUGAUGUUCUAUUAACA